rnacentral:rRNA from 1 species
CAUGCGGAGGUCAUUACAGUAUUCUUUUUGCCAGCGCUUAAUUGCGCGGCGAAAAAACCUUACACACAGUGUUUUUUGUUAUUACAAGAACUUUUGCUUUGGUCUGGACUAGAAAUAGUUUGGGCCAGAGGUUUACUGAACUAAACUUCAAUAUUUAUAUUGAAUUGUUAUUUAUUUAAUUGUCAAUUUGUUGAUUAAAUUCAAAAAAUCUUCAAAACUUUCAACAACGGAUCUCUUGGUUCUCGCAUCGAUGAAGAACGCAGCGAAAUGCGAUAAGUAAUAUGAAUUGCAGAUUUUCGUGAAUCAUCGAAUCUUUGAACGCACAUUGCGCCCUCUGGUAUUCCAGAGGGCAUGCCUGUUUGAGCGUCAUUUCUCUCUCAAACCUUCGGGUUUGGUAUUGAGUGAUACUCUUAGUCGAACUAGGCGUUUGCUUGAAAUGUAUUGGCAUGAGUGGUACUGGAUAGUGCUAUAUGACUUUCAAUGUAUUAGGUUUAUCCAACUCGUUGAAUAGUUUAAUGGUAUAUUUCUCGGUAUUCUAGGCUCGGCCUUACAAUAUAACAAACAAGUUUGACCUCAAAUCAGGUAGGAUUACCCGCUGAACUUAAGCAUAUCAAUAGGCGGGAGGA